GUUUCCUACGGGAGGCAGCAGUGGGGAAUAUUGCACAAUGGGGGGAACCCUGAUGCAGCGACGCCGCGUGAGUGAAGAAGUCAUUCGUGAUGUAAAGCUCUAUCAGCAGGGAAGAAAAUGACGGUACCUGACUAAGAAGCCCCGGCUAACUACGUGCCAGCAGCCGCGGUAAUACGUAGGGGGCAAGCGUUAUCCGGAUUUACUGGGUGUAAAGGGAGCGUAGACGGCAGCGCAAGUCCGAAGUGAAAGCCCG
rnacentral:rRNA from 1 species